GCAUUCAGCAGUGGCAGGAACAGCGUGGGCAAAUGGCGGAAGAAGUGCUCCUCAAUUAUUGAACAAGAAUGGGGGUCUAUAAUUAAAGGCCUACCACAUCUGGAUAGGAAGACAGGCGAUCAAGUGACAUCUACGUUAAGUGUAGCAAUUUUCACAACAAGGAUUCUGUUGUGCUUGAAGCCUUAUCCUUUCUGGAUGAGGUGAGGACUCUGCAGAGCGUACUGAGAGGAACAUCAUAAAGGCUACAGUGAUCCCUGGCUUCUGCAUUUUUGAGCUACUUUUGGGUAUAAGUAUAUAUAUACCCCUGGCAUAUGCUUUGAGCAGUACGUUUCAGUGUAGUCAUACAUCCUGGCAAACUCAAGGUAAGUUUCACUCAUAAG
rnacentral:lncRNA from 1 species